UACGUAGGUGGCAAGCGUUGUUCGGAAUUAUUGGGCGUAAAGGGCGCGUAGGCGAUUUGAAAAGUCUUGUGUGAAAGCCCCGAGCUUAACUCGGGAAGUGCACAAGAAACUGUUGAAUUUGAGUUCCGGAGAGGAAGGCAGAAUUCCCGGUGUAGCGGUGAAAUGCGUAGAUAUCGGGAGGAAUACCAGUGGCGAAGGCGGCCUUCUGGACGGAUACUGACGCUGAGGCGCGAAAGCCAGGGGAGCAAACGGG
rnacentral:rRNA from 1 species